CCUACGGGAGGCAGCAGUGGGGAAUUUUGGACAAUGGGCGAAAGCCUGAUCCAGCAAUGCCGCGUGAGUGAAGAAGGCCUUCGGGUUGUAAAGCUCUUUUGUCAGGGAAGAAACGGUGAGAGCUAAUAUCUCUUGCUAAUGACGGUACCUGAAGAAUAAGCACCGGCUAACUACGUGCCAGCAGCCGCGGUAAUACGUAGGGUGCAAGCGUUAAUCGGAAUUACUGGGCGUAAAGCGUGCGCAGGCGGUUUUGUAAGUCUGAUGUGAAAUCCCCGGGCUCAACCUGGGAAUUGCAUUGGAGACUGCAAGGCUAGAAUCUGGCAGAGGGGGGUAGAAUUCCACGUGUAGCAGUGAAAUGCGUAGAUAUGUGGAGGAACACCGAUGGCGAAGGCAGCCCCCUGGGUCAAGAUUGACGCUCAUGCACGAAAGCGUGGGGAGCAAACAGGAUUAGAUACCCUGGUAGUCCACGCCCUAAACGAUGUCUACUAGUUGUCGGGUCUUAAUUGACUUGGUAACGCAGCUAACGCGUGAAGUAGCCGCCUGGGGAGUACGGUGCAAGNUUAAACGUUAAUGAGUAGAGNGNGAGAGNGCGAGGACGACGACGAGGGAGGAGG
rnacentral:rRNA from 1 species